UGACCUCGAUCAAGUA
rnacentral:rRNA from 1 species